rnacentral:rRNA from 1 species
AUUGAACGCUGGCGGCAGGCCUAACACAUGCAAGUCGAACGAGCGGCGGACGGGUGAGUAAUGUCUGGGAAACUGCCUGAUGGAGGGGGAUAACUACUAGAAACGGUAGCUAAUACCGCAUACCAUCAGAUUUGCCCAGAUGGGAUUAGCGAGUAGGUGGGGUAACGGCUCACCAAGGCGACGAUCCCUAGCUGGUCUGAGAGGAUGACCAGCCACACUGGAACUGAGACACGGGCCAGACUCCUACGGGAGGCAGCAGUGGGGAAUAUUGCGCAAUGGGCGCAAGCCUGAUGCAGCAAUGCCGCGUGGAUGAAGAAGGCUUUCGGGUUGUAAAGUACUGUCAGUGGGGAGGCGUUACCCGAAGAGGAAGCACCGGCUAACUCCGUGCCAGCAGCCGCGGUAAUAC